rnacentral:lncRNA from 1 species
UUCUUUCUCUGGAGGUGGACAGAAUUCUUUGUCAUAAGUCCCUCAGAAUUGCCCUAGAUCAUUGUAUUACUGAGAGUAGCCUUGUAGCGUUGACAGCUGGUCUCAUUUAGAACGUGUGAGCUUCUUGAGAGCAGUACAAUUCUUCUUGGUCAACCUCAUCACUUGGUAGAGCAUAUGGUUCUUCUUUUGACUUCGCAUCUGUCCCUCUGGACCCGUCUGCUGACUCCAGCUCCAUCUGAUGUGAUAAGUGUCUGCUUUGACCUAUGUAAACAAGAGGGUGUCUCACCUAUCCUGAAUUUUAAAGCCCGUUGGUGUGAGACACUUUCCUCACUGGUGAAGAUCAGUGCCCUGGGUCUGCAUGAGCAGUGGAGUAGACUUGGCAAGAGAAGAGAGAUUUUCUCUUUCUGUUGUUCAGAAGUUUCUUUGGGCUUUUCAGAUCUGGUUUUGAGGUGGAAGAUAGAAGAUGCCAAUAUCACUUUAGACUGUUAAAGUAAAAGAAUCUGGGAAGAAGCCAACAUGAGAGGAGUUGUCAAUCUGUCAUGUCCCCAUUCUCAUUCUCCUACAUUAGAAAUUUUAGGGAACUUCCCCUUGGGCAAAAUCUAGAAAUCUCUCUUGGUUGAGCUGAACUACCUCUCUCCCAAUGGGAGAACUCCUUCAUUCUGUAUUUUCUGGUAUACAUCCUCAUAUGCAAUGAUGGCAAACCUUUUAGAAAUUGAGUACUGGGCCCCGCCCCAAUGACACACCCCUAGACCCAGUGUUGUGCCCCCCCCCCCAGACCAUGUGCCAUGUCCAGCACCUCAGGGGAGGAGGAAGUACUCCCAUUGGGCUACUGGGCAGAGGGGUGGGUGAUAUGAAAAAAUAUCAUCAGGCACAGUGGAGAGAGGGAAGGGAGCAACUCUGCCCAAGUCCUUCUGCCUUUCUAGUAAUGAAUUCUGCAAGCCACCUUUGGCACCUGUACCAUAUGUUCACUAUCACUGCUGGCAUGUAUUCCCUCGUGAAUGUCUACUUUGCUCCGAUGUGAAUAAAUAGAUUGGUCUCCCAUCUGUUUCA